GUGAGUACUUGUCAUCAAAAUGAAUAAAAGGGGAUGUAUCUAGAUGUAUUUUAGUUUUAGAUACAUCUCUUUUUAUUCAUUUUGAUGACAAGUAUUUUC
rnacentral:pre_miRNA from 1 species